rnacentral:rRNA from 1 species
GACGAACGCUGGCGGCGUGCUUAACACAUGCAAGUCGAACGGAAAGGCCCUGCUUUUGUGGGGUGCUCGAGUGGCGAACGGGUGAGUAACACGUGAGUAACCUGCCCUUGACUUUGGGAUAACUUCAGGAAACUGGGGCUAAUACCGGAUAGGAGCUCCUGCUGCAUGGUGGGGGUUGGAAAGUUUCGGCGGUUGGGGAUGGACUCGCGGCUUAUCAGCUUGUUGGUGGGGUAGUGGCUUACCAAGGCUUUGACGGGUAGCCGGCCUGAGAGGGUGACCGGCCACAUUGGGACUGGGAUACGGCCCAGACUCCUACGGGAGGCAGCAGGGGGGAAUAAUGCACAAUGGGCGGAAGCCUGAUGCAGCAACGCCGCGUGCGGGAUGACGGCCUUCGGGUUGUAAACCGCUUUCGCCUGGGACGAAGCGUGAGUGACGGUAAUGGGUAAAGAAGCACCGGCUAACUACGUG